rnacentral:lncRNA from 1 species
AAAUAUACUAAUAAAGAGAGGAUGGCCACCGUUCCCUCCACCGCUUGAAUUUUGGUCAACAAUUUUUAGCUCCUUUGAACACUCAUACCAGAAAAUGCAUACUAGUGUGGUUAGAAAUUUGCAUGAAAUGGAAGACAUUACACUCACUUAGCUCAGUUGAAUUUCAUCAUCUGGUUGUGAAUGCUUUGUGGUCAGGAAUUGUCUUCACUAUUUUAUUCUCGGAGUCUCAGCCUUCUAUGUAAUAUGUGCUCAACUUAUAUUCUAAAUUGUUAAUUCUUAUUAUUUCACACCAUUUCUCAUCAUCUUCUUGUCUCCACUGAAACUCUCCCCUCUAGACACUGUUCCUCCAUAAAGGGUCAAAGUAAUACCCAAUACUUACCAUGUAUUGGUUUCAUGCCAAGCAGCCUUCUAUUUUAUUUGUUCUAUGUAUAUUAGUCCCCCUCAGAUAAUCAAAAUAAUCACUCAGAAAAACCCCAGCCAUAUACAAGCUGAAAGUCAUGAAGUCACAUAUUCCAUAGAUCCUUAAUCUUAAAGCUAGCAGUCACAGUCAGAGGAAAACAAAACACCCUAUCCAAAAAAUCCUAUGUUUGUUAUUAGCAUAGUGAAUAGAUAGAACAGAAAAGAGAUAAACAUGGUGGAGAAAGAUACCCUUUCCACCUCAAUUCAUAACCCCGGGAGCCUCUUCCCCCUUCACCCAGUGAUUUGCAUCUAGAGAACUACUUGGGCCAGGGAGUUACCUCACACCAGACACAGGACACCCAUGGCUGUGGAAAGUCCCCUGAAGUCACUGGAACAUACACAGGAGUGUGUGUCUAUGGAUAUAAAUAUAAAAUGCUUCACUCACCUCAGCCCCCAAAUCUGACCUUAUUUGUCAGUACUACUUUGGCUGGGUCUGGAGGGCAAGGAAGGAAGAACAUCUUGACCAGCUGAGGCUUUGACAGAUGCAGGCAAGGCAUGUGUUCACGAGAUGUGGGGGAAGCUGGCACCGUGUGCCUGCAUCUUUACCUUUGCUGCCCUCAGUCCUAUUAGCAGAAGCCAUACUGACUCAAGCAGUCUCUUUCUGCAUGAAGUUCCAAACACUUUCUGUUUUUCUCUAGCACAAUUCCUCCUUAUAAAAAUAACAUGAUAUUAAUUUUCAAAAUGGAAAUUAGAAAAGAAAUAAGAAUUCAUAAUCCUCACCACCGAGUGCAAUCAUUUUGGCACGUACAAAAAAUUCUUUGCUGUCUUUUCUCGAUGCUUAAGAAUAGAAUUUUGUUUUGUCUCCAGUCUUUGUUUUGGAUAUAAAGGAGCAAUAUGGAGAAAUCUCUCUGCUAGGGGAAAUCAUAGAAUAUGUUCAAUUCAGGGCAAUUUUGAGAAUAAAAGUGUAGUUAAAAUUAUUAUUUUUUGAUGAUUUUUAUUUUUUCCAUUAUGGUUGGUUUACAGUGUUCUGUCAAUUUUCUACUGUACAGCAAAGUGACCCAGUCACACAUGGAUAUAUAUAUCCUUUUUCUCACAUUAUCUUCCAUCAUACUCCAUCACAAGUGACUAUAUUAAUUAUAUAAAUAUUUUUGAAAUCUUUAUUUAUUUUGAUCUAUUUUGAUUUAUUUUGAUAAAAUGGCAUAUGAUAACGAUGUACAUAAAAUAGUACCAUUCAAAAAUAAAAGCGGAAAUAAUUUUUCACUAAAAAUUUUAAGUAAUAUGUAUCCAUGUACAUUAAAGCUGGAAAAAAAAAAGUCUUCAUAUUAAUUAUCUGAACUUAACAACCUAACUGAAUGACCAUUGUUUGUAUACGUUCACAAAUUCUACUAAUUUUCUUAGUUACAUAUGUUUCUAAUACCAGGAAACUCAUGUUUUUUGAAGAACACAUAUUUUCAGUGUGACGUUAUUUUAAUUUUUUUCAGAUAAGACUUUUUUUUUUUUCUUUUUAGGGACGAACCUGCCACAUAUGGAAGUUCCCAGGCUAGGGGUCCAGUCAGAGCCUCAACUGCCUGCCUACUCCUUAGCCACAGCAACAUGGGAUCUGAGCCACAUCUGUGACCUAUACCACAUCUCAGGGAAAUGCUGGAUCCCUGAUCCACAGAGCAAGGCCAGGGAUGGAAUCCACAUCCUCAUGGAUACUAUUCGGAUUAUUUCUGCUGCGCCACAAUGGGCUGAGCCACAAUGGGCACUCCCACUAUAGGCAUAUUUUUAAUUGAGAAAAUACUCUUUUCAUUGCGGUUGAAAUAUUUGAUAAACUCAGUGCAAAGUUUGCAAAAUGGAAAGUAUUUCCUAUUCUAAUAUAUUUCAUACAAAAAUGUACAAAUAUUUCAGCCCAAAUAUUUUCAAAGAUACUGUCUUUUGCCUCUGUUUAGAAUGCUUUUCUUCAAUAAAUAUUUUUAUAAGUCAAAACUCAUUAAAUAAACUUUUUCUUUUUUUAUUCAUUUGGAAGUUUCACAAAACUUAGAUGCUACAACAUAAAAGGAUUUCUCCAUUUUAUUUCAUCCUAAAAUAGACUAUAAAUUUAUCUAAUAUAAACAGGAGCUUCAUUAAAAUUCUCUUUCUAUAAGUUUACAUAUUCUAAAAUGAAAUUAAAUAAUUUUAAAAUUAAAUUUUUUAUGCAGUCUGGACUUUCAUCAUUUAAUUUGCUUUGUUUCUCUCCUGCUUUUAUAGGGGUAAGUUUCAACAUCUUUCUGUUCAUAAACUUUAUUUUUAAUAACUAUAUUUAUCUAAAAGUUUCAAUACUAAUGUUUUUUAAAUUACUUCAUUCACUGAAUAUUUAGUUCAAAAACUUCCAACUGAUUUUGAAUAUAGUGCAAACAAAAUGUAUAGUCCUCAUUUACGAAAAGUUCAAUACCAUUGCAAAACACAAAUUUACCUGCAAAAUAGAUCUUAAAUAUUUAAACAUUUUAAAAAUCAAUGGAUGAAACUCAGUGCCAGGAGAAAAAGCUCAGAUUUCCAUGCUAUAGUAUUUUUUUACAUUCAAUGUCAACUUCCUCAUAAAACUCUGAUUCAAAAGGAGGGUACCUCGAUUUAAAUAUUUCUUUCUUAUUAGACACGGAGUUUAUGUGGACUUUUUUGCCAUUGUGAGUAGCACAGUAAUGAACAGGUCUGGCACAUCGACUUUUCUAGACCAUCUGAUCCUCAUUUCUUGCACCAUGUCUGAGGUUCACUAGUCAGAAGGCUGGAGUUCUUUUAUGCCUUAAGCUCCAUCAUGCUCUGAAUAUGAAAGCAGGCCAUUGCUCCAACUGUCUUUGGGUUCUUCCUGCUCCUCCUCUCCACCUCUCUGCUCCCCCAUUUAGUUAGGUAUUUCUUAAGCAACUCUUACUUCUCGUUGCACGCAUCAAUAUAGUGGGUCCUCUGGAUGGGGAAGAAAAACAUGGUACCUAAUCUCGGUUUCUCUUCCUUCUCUUAGAAUUAUUCAAACUGGCAGGAAUGGGCUAUCCCCUCUUUCUCUUCCUUAUGUGACCAGUAUCUUCCUUAAAAUGUAAGAUCAAUCUUUCAGGCCUUAAAGUAGAAGACCAGGGGAAUUCAGGAAAUCACUUUCUCUUUAUAAGCCUUGCUUUAAGUUUCAUUACUUCCUGUAGACAUUUAAUUCCUAUUUUGGUUGCCAGAAACAGAAUAUUAACAUUCUCCCUCCACAUUCUUGUUAUACUAACCCUAAUGACUUCCUGUACUUCCCCACUUGCAUCCCCACAAAUGACAAAAGCUGCAGGCUGACUUGGGUUAAAGUCAAGUAUAUGUAAAGGCAAAAGAGACAAGCAUAUUCACCUUUUUCCAAAAUUUUCACCCCUUCUUACAUCACUAAAUAAAUAAUUAGUAUGUCAGAAAUAUAUGUCCAAGGCAUUCCCCUAUGGCACAGUGGGUUAAAAAUUCAACUGCAGAAGACUGGGUGGCUGUAGAAGUGUGGGUUUAAUCCCAGGCCCUGCAGCUUGAAUUAAAGGGUCCGGCAUUGCUGCAACUGUGGCAUGGGUCAUAGCUGUGGCUCAGAUUCAAUCCUUGGCCUGGGAACUUCCAUAUGCUGGGGGUGUGGCCAUAAAAUUAAAAAUACAUGCAUAUGUAUAUAUGUAUAUACACGAACACUGCCAUCUGAUAGCAUUGACAGAUUGUAUUACAGAGGAUUUCCUAUUGCCACAGGCUAUAUGUGAGAGCACUAGUUUCAGUGUAUCCUUAAUAAGGAUUAUCAUUUUGAAAAAUUUUGCUAACUUAAUAAUUAAAAAAUAAUCCAAGGGAUAAUCUUUAGAUUUUCUUAGUUUUAUUCUAACUCCUCUAAUUCUAUUGGCAAGUAAACUUGAAUUCAUGAGCUAUGCAAUUUGAUAACUGGAUCUAGGGAUAUAAAAUGACAAGGCAUUGAGCAAAACUAAGAUCAAGAGAUUUUUGGUACUGAGAGAUCAACAGCUUUUGAAUUUCACUUUCAUUUGAAAGCAGGACUUGAGGACCUGGGCUACGACACUGGCUAUUUAUUAACGGGAUCAUCUCUUAGCUAGCUCUUUCAGGCUUCCCAGGUUGUUGCUGUUUUACGAAUAUGAUUUUAAUGUUCCAUGAAUUCUGUGAAAUGUUAUCAAGUCCGUUUUACAGCCAAACUGAGACACAGAAGUGCCUUGCUCAAGGUGGAUAAAAGGAGCGAAGAAACAAAGUAGGAGGUCAGUCUGAGUUGAGAUUCUGAUACUAACACUGACUGGUUCUGUGACACUGGAGAAUUUCUUAAAAUCCCCAAGAUGCUUCCUUAUCUGCCAAUCAAAAUUAACAAAGUUCACUUCAGCGUGGUAACAAGAAAUAACUAUUUCCAUGCUUUUAAAGACUUUUGGUCUAGAGUUUGGAAGGUCAGAACCUAUGAAUGAAAAAUUAUUCUCAUUCAAUAACAGCACAUUGAUCUUUCUCUUAUACUCCACUCAUGUUUAAAAUAAAUAAAUAAAACUUUUUUAUGUUUAGAACAAAUUCUGAUUCAUUUACAUCUUGUUCUGUCAAGGAUCAGUGGAGAUAAAGAAAGAGAAAUUGAGCCAAAAAGGAUUUUACAUUUGAAUUUACCUAGCAAAGUAAUAGAAUCAUAGAAUUACAAAAAUAAAUAAAUAAAUAAACCUGAGAACUAAAGGGAUAAAACAUAUUAACCCCUCUAACCACCUACAGAAAUGCAGGUGUGGAAGGGGAAAGGACUGCCACAGAGUUCCAGGGAGUAAACUGUAGAUCUGCAUUUCUUUCAGAGCCCUGGUCUCUGAAAUCAUUCAAGGCUUUCAACACAAUGUACAUUUUCUCCUUUUCAAAUUGGCCAAGAAGAGCCAUAGCUUUUACCUGUGAAAAAGGAAGAGGUCUGCUGUAAUUACAGCCAACCCUACACUCCUACUGGGCUUUACUGAGUGCCAGGGCUCUGGGGGAUAGAGGUGAAUGAGGCAUGGGGUCUAGGCGGAAGCGGGCCUGCACAAGAGUAACUUGAUUCCAAGGCGGUCUGUGAUAAGUGUUAUCUUAGAUCAGUGGAGGAGACAGGUCACACGACUGGAAUAGCACGAAGUCAGGCCAGAGGCUGAGGCCACGCUGUUAUUUAGGAACCCUAUCGGGUUCAUCUUGCAGCUUGGCAGUGAGCCAAAACCCCUGUAGCUUCUUGUCCUGGGUGUGCUGGGUCAUAGGAUGUUUCCAUCGCCUUUCCUGGAGUCUACUGUUAAGGCCCCCAGAGUCUGAGAGUGUAAAAAGACAGGUGGAGAGAGAAGUUUGUUCCACUGAUCCAACCUGUGCCAUUGAAGCAACCCAAGCUCCUGGAAGGACUCAGAUCCUUCAGCUGCUGCACCACCAGGAAACUCCUGUUCCACUUUUAAGAACAAAUGAUCCUGGAGUUCCUGCUGUGGGGCAACAGGAUUGGCGGAGUCUUGGGAGCCUGGGACCAGGUUCAAUCCCUGGACUGGCACAGUGGGUUAAGGAUCUGGCAUUGCCAUAGCUGCAGCUUAGGUUGCAAAUGCGACUCAGAUCUGAUCCCUGGCCCAAGAACUCCUGCCUUGAGGGCACCAAAAAAGAAAAAAUAAAUAAAUAAACAAUCCUAAAUCAAUUAUAUUGCAAUAAAAAUAAGUACUAAUAAAAUAAAUACUCCUAGAAUGCCUGGCAUUAUGGAAACAUGGUUUCCUUAAAGGUGACCUUUGUUUCUCCUAGCAUAUCACAGGCGAUGCCAAACAUCAGAGCCUCCAGGUUUCUACCCAUUCAGGAUGUGAACUAACCAAAAAUAUUGUUUGUCUUCCUCUGGCAGUUAUGCCAUUCAGCUUUGCCUUAGCUGUUUGCAUGUGCACCUCCCAGAGGACUGUGAAGAGCUGGGAUACAGACCCCCUCUGACUCACCUCAUCUCCCACAGCACCCAGGAAAAGCCUGAUUGUAUUAAAUCCUCAGCCCAGUCAGUGGGUUAAAACACAAUCUUCUGCUAUUCUUUCAGUGCUGGAAGGAAUUUUCCAUUUUCCAACUCGCUGGCAAGUAUUCCAAAUUGCCCUCAAGCUUAGAACUGAAAAUGAAAGGGAAGAAAUGACCCCUUUCUCUACUCAAUGUUAUGUUGUGUGUUAGAUUGAG